rnacentral:rRNA from 1 species
GAUGAACGCUGGCGGCGUGCUUAACACAUGCAAGUCGAACGAUGAAGCCCAGCUUGCUGGGUGGAUUAGUGGCGAACGGGUGAGUAACACGUGAGCAACCUGCCCCUGACUCUGGGAUAAGCGCUGGAAACGGCGUCUAAUACUGGAUAUGUCCCGUCACCGCACGGUGUGCGGGUGGAAAGAUUUUUCGGUUGGGGAUGGGCUCGCGGCCUAUCAGCUUGUUGGUGAGGUAAUGGCUCACCAAGGCGUCGACGGGUAGCCGGCCUGAGAGGGUGACCGGCCACACUGGGACUGAGACACGGCCCAGACUCCUACGGGAGGCAGCAGUGGGGAAUAUUGCACAAUGGGCGAAAGCCUGAUGCAGCAACGCCGCGUGAGGGAUGACGGCCUUCGGGUUGUAAACCUCUUUUAGCAGGGAAGAAGCGAAAGUGACGGUACCUGCAGAAAAAGCACCGGCUAACUACGUGCCAGCAGCCGCCGUAAUAC